GACUGCAGAGGACACCCCAAGGUUACCUUGGCCUGUGGCUCCGCGGCUCAAGCUACAGCCAGCGACGACAACGGUGAACCAGCAGCCUCUCCGAGUUUUAUUAUCAUUCAAAUGAGGACGUGGAGAGAUAUGUGCAACCAUGAUCACAGUCAAUUUAGAAUAUUUUCGUCACCUCCAAGAGAAAUCCUUUAGCUAUCAUCCUCCUAUCUCUCCAACCACUGACCUACUUUCUGUUGCUGUCGAUUUCCCGGUUCUGGAUAUUUCGUAUGAACAGAGUCACACGACAGUCCCCAGCUUAUGAUGGUUCGACUUACGAUCUUUGACUCUGAGAUGGUGUGAAAGCAACGCGCACUCAGUGAAACCACACUUCAAGGACCCAGACGACCAUUCUGCCUCUGACACUCAGGGCAGUAUUCGGUGAAUUACACGAGCUAUUCAACACUUUAUUAUAAAAUGGGCUUUGUGUUAGAUAAUUUUGCUCAACUGUAGGCUAAUGUCAGUGUCUGAGCAUAUUUAAGGUGGGCUGGGCUGAGCUAUGACGUUUGGUAGCUUGGGUGUCUUAAAUGCAUUUUUGACUUAAAUUUUCAUUUACAAUGGAUUUAUUGGGAUGUGACCCCAUCGUACA